AAGAGGUACCUAAAUGAUCACGGCAACGAGAUCUACGUUUCUACCCGGUUAGUUUCUUCAAUAAAACAAGCGUUUCUAGAGUUCCUUGAACUCUAAGUACGGAUUCGGUGUUUAUAGAGCUCCGUUGUUUCAGUGUAAGGAACUUUGUGUGCUUUGGAAGAGCAUCCAAACUAUCAAGAGUGGGGAGCCAAGGAAGAGUUACAAAAGCAAGAUUUGAAGAAGUUUCACUACAAAUUUCACGCCUGGGUGCCCCAGACGGGGCUGGGCGUCCUUCAACUCACACUUCCAACAAGAACAUGGCGCCUGGGCGCCCUUCAAUUCGCAUUUGUAGCCAA